rnacentral:tRNA from 1 species
GGCGCUAUAGCCAAGUGGUUACGGCGACAGAUUCGAAUAAAUGACAUCUGUUCCUCUUUGAGGGCGCAGGUUCAAAUCCUGCUGGCGUCG